GAUGAACGCUGGCGGCGUGCCUAAUACAUGCAAGUCGAGCGAACAGACGAGGAGCUUGCUCCUCUGACGUUAGCGGCGGACGGGUGAGUAACACGUGGAUAACCUACCUAUAAGACUGGGAUAACUUCGGGAAACCGGAGCUAAUACCGGAUAACAUGUUGAACCGCAUGGUUCAACAGUGAAAGACGGUCUUGCUGUCACUUAUAGAUGGAUCCGCGCCGCAUUAGCUAGUUGGUAAGGUAACGGCUUACCAAGGCAACGAUGCGUAGCCGACCUGAGAGGGGGAUCGGCCACACUGGAACUGAGACACGGUCCAGACUCCUACGGGAGGCAGCAGUAGGGAAUCUUCCGCAAAGGGCGAAAGCCUGACGGAGCAACGCCGCGUGAGUGAAGAAGGUCUUCGGAUCGUAAAACUCUGUUAUUAGGGAAGAACAAAUGUGUAAGUAACUAUGCACGUCUUGACGGUACCUAAUCAGAAAGCCACGGCUAACUACGUG
rnacentral:rRNA from 1 species